rnacentral:rRNA from 1 species
CGUAACAAGGUUUCCGUAGGUGAACCUGCGGAAGGAUCAUUGUCACUCGUGGCUUCUUCCUUGGCAAAUAAACGAACCCCGGCGCGAAAAGCGUCAAGGAACAUAACUACAUAUGAGCUCACGCCCGCUGCCCGGUUAGCCGGUGCACGGUUGUGGUGCCAUGUCAUAACAUUAAACGACUCUCGGCAACGGAUAUCUCGGCUCUCGCAUCGAUGAAGAACGUAGCGAAAUGCGAUACUUGGUGUGAAUUGCAGAAUCCCGUGAACCAUCGAGUCUUUGAACGCAAGUUGCGCCCGAGGCUUCUGGCCAAGGGCACGUCUGUCUGGGCGUCACGCAUCGCAACCCCCCACAACCACUUCGGUAGUUGAGGGGAGGAGGAUGGUUUCCCGUGCCUCACCGGGCGCGGUUGGCCUAAAUAAGGAGCCUAAGGCAUCGGGUUGCCGCGGCGAUAGGUGGAGUACAAGGUCUCGGCCGUGGAAUCAACCGGUCGCGCAACCCUUUGAAUGUAAAGCUCGAAGGACCCAUUGUUGUCGCUUUGUUGCGUCACAAACGUUGCGACCCCAGGUCAGGCGGGGCUACCCGCUGAA